rfam:Stachybotrys chartarum IBT 40288 unplaced genomic scaffold scaffold1098, whole genome shotgun sequence.
UGCCCCUUGACUACACUCUGAAAUUUACCCUUUUCUCCUAUGGUAUAUUUCAAUUUUUGUGCAAGGAAGAUCAAGCCUACUUGAAGACUCUAUACUCACCGCUUCAUCCUAUUCCUCGUGGAUGUGGCGGUCCAUCAAUUCAGUCUACAC